AGAGUUUGAUCCUGGCUCAGGACGAACGCUGGCGGCGCGCCUAACACAUGCAAGUCGAACGAGAGAGAAGGAGCUUGCUUCUUCGAUCGAGUGGCGAACGGGUGAGUAACGCGUGAGGAACCUGCCUCAAAGAGGGGGACAACAGUUGGAAACGACUGCUAAUACCGCAUAAGCCCACGGUCGGCGAUCGACCUCGAGGGAAAAGGG
rnacentral:rRNA from 1 species